GCUUCCUGCGGCUCAAUCCGUAGAGCAUUGUGGUAGCAAAUCAAAGGUUGUGGGUUCAAACCCCAUGGAAAGCA